ACAGCCUUGCAUGCAAGGUAAUGGUGAAACGGUGGGGUAAAGCCCACCGCGCGGCUGGCAACAGUCGUGGCACGGCAAGCCCCACCGGGAGCAAUGCCAAAUAGGAACCGCAUAUGGGUCGUUUCAACCCCGCAGGUUCGGGUUGGCAGCUAGAGGGGCCUGGUAACAGGCCGCCGAGAUGAAUGAUUGCCCAAGAUUGCGCUGGCAACGGCGUGGAUCUGGACAAAAUCCGGCUUACAGGCUCCCCGCGCAU
rnacentral:RNase_P_RNA from 1 species